GGCCCCCAUCUGCUCCUUGCACCACAUUGCUGUGACAACCGUGGAAGGAAUAGGAAGCACCAAGACGAGGCUGCAUCCUGUGCAGGAGAGAAUUGCCAAAAGCCAUGGCUCCCAGUGCGGAUUCUGUACCCCUGGCAUUGUCAUGAGCAUGUACACCCUGCUCCGGAACCAGCCCGAGCCUACCAUUGAGGAGAUUGAGAAUGCCUUCCAAGGAAACCUGUGCCGCUGCACAGGCUACAGACCCAUCCUCCAGGGCUUCCGGACCUUCGCCAGGGUAAGUGGGGGCCCUAGAGCAGCAGUGGCCCUGCUCCUAAAGCAGCGACACUCAGAAAUCACAG